ACGAAAUCUAACAGACUUUAACUAAAUCUGAACGUAGUAGUAGUAUUCAUCAAAAUUUUUGUUUCAAAUUCUUUCUUUUCUUUAGCAAUGCUUUCAUUUUAUACCUUUGCACUAUUUAUUUUUUACCCAUUAGUUGUUGAAGGCCAGUGUUAUAGUUGCGACAGCUUUUGGAAUUUUGAAUGUCAGCCGCGUGUGCAGGGCUUUCACUGUGAUCCUAAUACAAUAGUUGAGACUCACUCUCCUGACGCGAAUCAACUUCCAACGGUAUACGAUUCCUGCACGAUUCAAAAUCUUGAGAUAAAGGAACUUAGGGAUUUCUGUUGCGUUUUUUCACCAACAAUUGGCUGCAAUGUAGUACUGAAUCCCAUAUCAUAUGCGAAUUACCCGAGCUCCUACUGUCCGGAUUGCUAUAUCAGAUGUAAUUGUACGGAAGGUGCCACCUCAAUGUCACAGUCAUGGCACUGGGGUAAACUGUGCAUUAUGCUCAGUCUGAUUAACCAGAUCUUAGGUGUAAGCUCCAGGGUUGUCUAAUAGAAAUCUCAUAUGGUCAUAUGUCUACGCCAGGAACCGUAAUAUCAAAGGCAGAUAACUUUUUCUGAGCGAACCUGAUUCUCCGAGAUGUGGAGAUUUAUUUCAGACUAUAUUCAAGUCUUGGGCUGAAUCCAUAUGUGUAUCCACAGUGAAGUCCACUUAAAUAAUGUCAGAGUUGUAAGAUAUUCUGUAGAUGCAACAGCGCGGCAAUGUUGCUAGGGCCACAGCCGUGGCUUUAAGCUUGCCUCGCCUGUCGAUUUAUUUUACUUUCGCUUUUUCAGAAACUUAAAUAAGCAAUCUAUUUUACUCAGAUAUGACAUGUAUGAAAUGUAUGUGGCUUAAAGGCUUGACAAAUAAAUAGAUUAAAU